UGCUCGGGGACGGUGGGCGGAGACCCUGCGGCCGCGGCGGACAGCGGUGACCACGGACGCGUCCUCGCCGUGGGCCUGCGUGGGACCGGCCUUGAUUCACUCCUAGACCCAGCGGGUGAACUGGCGAACGUCCAAGGUCCCAGAGAGCCCUCGGGGGGUUCCAGAGGCAGAGCCCAGCCUUGCGGAGAGGGCAUGCCCGGGACACCUGACCACCGCACAGCCUCCACCAGUCAGCGAUUUGGGAAACACCAGCAGGAAUGCGACAGCAGUACAGAGGGCAGCGGGGAGGGGAAGAGACUGGAGGCAAGGAGGCGUCUUGGAGAGCUCGCGGAGAUUUGCGAGGGAAGGAGAUGAGCCCGAUGGUAACGGGGAUGCACAGACGUGACCACUCGUGCAGCUGAGUCGCCGGAGCGAGUCACCAGAUGCCAGCAGGAUUAAAAGAGCAAGGACACGCAGUAUUUCUUCCACUUUCCUCUCGACACCUUGCACCUACCCAGAUGGAAGCAGACCUUCUGCGACCUGUCUGUGGCAGGGAGUGGAAUUCCGGUGACUCUGCCCAGAGCAGUGAUCUUGGAGCUACUUGGACGGACCGUGUACCUCCUCACUGGCACUCGCGUUUCCAGCGAGCCCAUGUGGAUGGCCACUGACGUGACGGCUACAGCUGGUCACCAAGCACAGAGAUGCACCUCGUGCAGGAUUUUGCAGAACCUAAGAUAUUUCAUAUCAACACUAAUUCCAUCUGUUGUACGUGACAGGAAGUGGUCAGUUCUACAGGUUAGUACUUCUAAGUUUGCUUAGGUACAAAACAGUUAGCUUCAAAGCAGACACAUCUUGAGGUACAAUUUGUUAAAAAUACAAGUAAAUGCCAGACUAUAGUGCACCUAAGAACUGCUCUUAAGGCAUACUUUAUAGAGCUCAAGAUAAAUACUUCCGGCAGCCAAUAAAAUGUCAGUUGCUUCAGGCUGAGCGAGCCUGAAGGUGUGCCCCCCGCCCCCGGUAAUGGGGCGGGCUCCCGGGAAAUCCCACAGAAGGUCAAGGGUUAGGGCAGAAGCACUUGAAGACACUGGCCCUUACCUAAAACUGUGAAGUGUGUGGUGAUUUCCUUUCCACUUGGAGAAAGAGCUGUACGCCAGCGGAGCUGGGAGGAACACCUGAGGAAGGGUUGUCCUGAGUGUGGGACCGUCCUCAAAGCCCUCUAGGGACACUGAGAGCUCUCCUGACACGGAAUUCAGUUCAUUCCGUGUUCGUGUCUUCAAUGCAUGUGUACUACCUAUGCUGUAUUCCGGAUUUAAACUGAAUGUGCAGUUAGGGAAUUGUCACGCGGGUCACAACUGUUCCUAGGCAAGGCAUUUCAGAAACUGUUACGGAAGCAAAUUCAGUGCUUCAGGAACACACCCGAUGGGCACAGUGAUGAGGAGCAGUGAGAGCAACUCCGAAGGUCUGGGACGGUGGCCUCCGAUGCGGUCCCACAGAAGUGUUGAAGCACUGGACGUUGAUCGGAGCAGGAUGUGACUGGUGG